CGUGUAGGCGGAGAUGCAAGUUGGGAGUGAAAUCCCGGGGCUCAACCCCGGAACUGCUUUCAAAACUGUAUCCCUUGAGUGUCGGAGAGGCAAGCGGAAUUCCUAGUGUAGCGGUGAAAUGCGUAGAUAUUAGGAGGAACACCAGUGGCGAAGGCGGCUUGCUGGACGAUAACUGACACUGAGGCUCGAAAGCCAGGGUAGCGAACG
rnacentral:rRNA from 1 species